CCAAGGGGCGCUACACAUGCAAGUCGAGCGGAAACGAGAAUAGCUUGCUAUUCGGCGUCGAGCGGCGGACGGGUGAGUAAUGCUUGGGAAUAUGCCUUUGAGUGGGGGUCAACCUUUGGAAACGACUGCUUUUACCGCAUAACGUCUACGGACCAAAGGGGGGGCUUCUUCGGAACCUCUCGCUCAUUGAUUAGCCCAAGUGAGAUUAGCUAGUUGGUAAGGUAAUGGCUUACCAAGGCGACGAUCUCUAGCUGGUUUGAGAGGAUGAUCAGCCACACUGGGACUGAGACACGGCCCAGACUCCUACGGGAGGCAGCAGUGGGGAAUAUUGCACAAUGGGCGAAAGCCUGAUGCAGCCAUGCCGCGUGUGUGAAGAAGGCCUUCGGGUUGUAAAGCACUUUCAGCGAGGAGGAAAGGGAUGUAGUUAAUAACUGCAUUCUGUGACGUUACUCGCAGAAGAAGCACCGGCUAACUUCGUGCCAGCAGCCGCGGUAAUACGAGGGGUGCAAGCGUUAAUCGGAAUUACUGGGCGUAAAGCGUGCGUAGGUGGUUUGUUAAGCAAGAUGUGAAAGCCCCGGGCUCAACCUGGGAACUGCAUUUUGAACUGGCAAACUAGAGUAUUGUAGAGGGUAGUGGAAUUUCCAGUGUAGCGGUGAAAUGCGUAGAGAUUGGAAGGAACAUCAGUGGCGAAGGCGGCUACCUGGACAAAUACUGACACUGAGGCACGAAAGCGUGGAGAGCAAACAGGAUUAGAUACCCUGGUAGUCCACGCCGUAAACGAUGUCAACUAGCCGUCUGUGACCUUGAGUCGUGGGUGGCGCAGCUAACGCACUAAGUUGACCGCCUGGAGAGUACGGCCGCAAGGUUAAAACUCAAAUGAAUUGACGGGGGCCCGCACAAGCGGUGGAGCAUGUGGUUUAAUUCGAUGCAACGCGAAGAACCUUACCAUCCCUUGACAUCCAGAGAAGAGACUAGAGAUAGACUUGUGCCUUCGGGAACUCUGUGACAGGUGCUGCAUGGCUGUCGUCAGCUCGUGUUGUGAAAAGGUGGGUUAAAGCCCCGCAACGAGCGCCACCCCCUAUCCUUAUUUGCCAGCGCGUAAUGGCGGAAACUCUAAAGGAGACCGCCGGUG
rnacentral:rRNA from 1 species